rnacentral:lncRNA from 10 species
UCACCGUCUUCUGCGUCGCUCACGCUGGGAGCUGUAGACCGGAGCUCGAGAACUACUUUUUAAUUAGGGCUUGGGAUUAGCCAUUGCCAUAGAAUGGAGUGAAUAACAGAGAAGAGAAACUGUGACUAAUUUAAGAGUGAUAAUCAUACAAUUGCAAUUUGGAGAAGAUUGACCUGAAAGAACUGCAGAGGAAGCAUGCUCUUUGUGACACUCUGGUCUGCCUCAUGCAAGCUG